CCUACGGGAGGCAGCAGUGGGGAAUUUUGGACAAUGGGCGCAAGCCUGAUCCAACCAUGCCGCGUGAGUGAAGAAGGCCUUCGGGUUGUAAAGCUCUUUCGGCGGGGACGAAAAGGUCCGUGCUAACACCACGGAUCCAUGACGGUACCCGCAGAAGAAGCACCGGCUAACUACGUGCCAGCAGCCGCGGUAAUACGUAGGGUGCAGGCGUUAAUCGGAAUUACUGGGCGUAAAGCGUGCGCAGGCGGUCUAUUAAGACAGGUGUGAAAUCCCCGGGCUUAACCUGGGAACUGCGCCUGUAACUGAUAGGCUUGAGUGUGGCAGAGGGGGGUGGAAUUCCAGGUGUAGCAGUGAAAUGCGUAGAGAUCUGGAGGAACACCGAUGGCGAAGGCAGCCCCCUGGGCUAACACUGACGCUCAUGCACGAAAGCGUGGGGAGCAAACAGGAUUAGAUACCCUGGUAGUCCACGCCCUAAACUAUGUCAACUGGUUGUCGGGGAAGCAAUUCCUUGGUAACGAAGCUAACGCGUGAAGUUGACCGCCUGGGGAGUACGGCCGCAAGGUUAAAACUCAAAGGAAUUGACGGA
rnacentral:rRNA from 1 species